rnacentral:tRNA from 1 species
GCUCUCGUAGCUUAAGUAAAAUAAAGCAUAACACUGAAGCUGUUAAGACGGCAUCUGAGCCCAAGAGCA